GCUAAGUGUUGUAGUCGCGUGGGUCAGCUUGUUGGAAGGGAUGCGGCAGAAGUAGAAGCUGAGCAGAAGGUGCUUGAGGAGGCUAUAAAGAAUGCUCGCAAGAGGGAUAGGAGGACAUUAUUGCGAUCUGUAAGUCAUCAGCAUUCUGUUUCUUUUGCUGUUUUGCCUAUUAUUUUUGCAGUCAUUUUGUACUUUAUACGGUAAUAGUUAGGAAACUUGCCUAUUUUGAACUCCCGCCUACCCCCUUCACUAACGUUUCUCCAGUGUAUGGAUGAGCCUAAUGAUAUAAAAGCUAGCUUGACUGUAUAAUUUGAACUUGGCUGUCCUAGAACUUUUGUGAUCGUCGAUGGUGAGA